rnacentral:rRNA from 1 species
AUACGGAGGAUGCGAGCGGUAUCCGGAUUUAUUGGGUUUACAGGGUGCGUAGGCUGUGCGUUAAGUCAGGGGUGAAAUGCCGUCGCUCAACGACGGAGCUGCCCUUGAUACUGGCGUGCUGGAGUACGGAUGCCGUCGGAGGAAUGAGUGGUGUAGCGGUGAAAUGCUUAGAUAUCACUCAGAACACCGAUUGCGAAGGCAUCUGACGAAUCCGUCCCUGACGCUGAGGCACGAAAGCGUGGGGAUAGAACAGGAUUAGAUACCCUGGUAUUCCACGCCGUAAACGAUGAUGACUAACCGUCGGCGAUAGACAGCCGGUGGCCAAGCUAAAGCGAUAAGUCAUCCACCUGGGGAGUACGUCGGCAACGAUGAAACUCAAAUGAAUUGACGGG